rnacentral:rRNA from 1 species
CCUACGGGUGGCAGCAGUGGGGAAUAUUGCGCAAUGGGCGAAAGCCUGACGCAGCGACGCCGCGUGAGGGAUGAAGGUCUUCGGAUCGUAAACCUCUGUCAGCAGGGAAGAACGGUCACUGUGCUAAUCAGCAGUGAAUUGACGGUACCUGCAAAGGAAGCACCGGCUAACUCCGUGCCAGCAGCCGCGGUAAUACGGAGGGUGCGAGCGUUAAUCGGAAUUACUGGGCGUAAAGCGCUCGUAGGCGGUAUGUCAAGUCAAGGGUGAAAUCCCCGCGCUCAACGUGGGAACUGCCUUUGAAGCUGGCAAACUGGGGAGUGUGAGAGGAUAGUGGAAUUCCAGGGGUAGGAGUGAAAUCCGUAGAUAUCUGGAGGAACAUCAGUGGCGAAGGCGACUAUCUGGCACAUAACUGACGCUGAGGAGCGAAAGCGUGGGUAGCAAACAGGAUUAGAUACCCUUGUAGUC